rnacentral:rRNA from 1 species
UACGUAGGGGGCUAGCGUUAUCCGGAAUUACUGGGCGUAAAGGGCUCGUAGGCGGCCAACUAAGUCAGACGUGAAAUCCCCAGGCUCAACCUGGGAACUGCGUCUGAUACUGGAUGGCUUGAAUCCGGGAGAGGGAUGCAGAAUUCCAGGUGUAGCGGUGAAAUGCGUAGAUAUCAGGAGGAACACCAAUGGCGAAGGCAGCUCGCUGGGACGUGACUGACGCUGAGAACGCGGAAAGCGUGGGGAGCAAACAGG